GGGCGUGUGGCGGAAUGGUAUACGCGGUGGACUUAAAAUCCACUGCCGCAAGGCUUGUGGGUUCGAGUCCCACCUCGCCCA
rnacentral:tRNA from 1 species